UACGAAGGGUGCAACCGUUGCUCGGAAUUAUUGGGCGUAAAGCGCACGUAGGCGGCCUUGCAAGUCGGAUGUGAAAUCCCUCGGCUUAACCAAGGAAGUGCAUCCGAAACUGCAGUGCUUGAGUACUUAAGAGGAUCGCGGAAUUCCCGGUGUAGAGGUGAAAUUCGUAGAUAUCGGGAGGAACACCAGUGGCGAAGGCGGCGAUCUGGGAAGAUACUGACGCUGAGGUGCGAAAGCGUGGGGAGCAAACAGG
rnacentral:rRNA from 1 species